rnacentral:rRNA from 1 species
AGCGAACGCUGGCGGCGUGCUUAACACAUGCAAGUCGAGUGCGUAGCCCUUUGUAGCAAUACAGAGGGUGGGCGCACGGCGCACGGGUGAGUAACACGUGGGUAACCUGCCCUUGGUGGGGAAUAACCCCGCGAAAGCGGGGCUAAUUCCGCAUAACAUUCCGGGGACACAUGUUCUCGGACUCAAAGGAGUGAUUCGCCGGAGGAGGGGCCCGCGCCCGAUUAGCUUGUUGGUAGGGUAACGGCCACCAAGGCCUUGAUCGGUAGCCGGUCUGAGAGGAUGGCCGGCCACACUGGAACUGAGACACGGUCCAGACUCCUACGGGAGGCAGCAGUGGGGAAUCUUGCGCAAUGGGCGAAAGCCUGACGCAGCGACGCCGCGUGGGGAGU